rnacentral:rRNA from 1 species
GAAUACCGAAGAAUGUUAUCACGGGAGACACACGGCGGGUGCUAACGUCCGUCGUGAAGAGGGAAACAACCCAGACCGCCAGCUAAGGUCCCAAAGUCAUGGUUAAGUGGGAAACGAUGUGGGAAGGCACAGACAGCCAGGAUGUUGGCUUAGAAGCAGCCAUCAUUUAAAGAAAGCGUAAUAGCUCACUGGUCGAGUCGGCCUGCGCGGAAGAUGUAACGGGGCUAAACCAUGCACCGAAGCUGCGGCAGCGACACUAUGUGUUGUUGGGUAGGGGAGCG